rnacentral:rRNA from 1 species
AAAGAUUAAGCCAUGCAUGUCUAAGUAUAAGCAACUAUACUGUGAAACUGCGAAUGGCUCAUUAAAUCAGUUAUCGUUUAUUUGAUAGUGCCCUUUACUACUUGGAUAACCGUGGUAAUUCUAGAGCUAAUACAUGCAUCAAGCUCCGACUUCGGAAGGAGUGUAUUUAUUAGAUAAAAAACCAAUGCCCUCCGGGGCUGCUUGGUGAAUCAUGAUAACGCAACGAAUCGCAUGGCCCUGCGCCGGCGAUGGUUCAUUCAAAUUUCUGCCCUAUCAACUUUCGAUUGUAGUUUAGUGGACUACAAUGGUUUCAACGGGUAACGGGGAAU